AGUCCUGUAGCUCAGCGGUUAGAGCACUCGCCUCAAAAGCGAGAGACCUGGGUUCAAUUCCUGGCAAGGGCGA